UCAUGCUUGUCAACCACCUCCAUACACCACAUCCAGCAAAGCUCCCUGAGUGACUCAGUCACCAACCACCAGUGCACUGAUCUUUCCUCUGUGUCCUUCCAGUUUGUCCUGAGGAUGGCCUGUUUUUAAGAGGCUCACCACAACGAAAGGAUGAAGAAGAAGAGAAAGAAGAUGCUAAUGAUAAUAAUGAUGUCCAGAGAAUAACAGAUCUGUGUGAAGCGCACAGCAGAAUCUGAUUCUCACGAUGUUUUCUUUCAUAUAAUUGCAGGGAACAGCUUUGAAUGAAAACGGUAUGUACCAUGAAAUA